GUUUGGGAUAUAAGCCGUUUCACCUUCACGUGGUGCACUCUGGGUAACUCUAAACGAACUGGGUCGCUUUUAGACCACGUAAAAUAUAUGCACUUUCUUCUUGGAACGCUGUCGGGUGAUUCUUAUCCCGGACACUCUCGAUACAUUAUAUUUGGGUCGUUUCGGAACGCGUUCGGAGAAUAACCGUCCGUUGUGUUCGCCUCUGUACGUUUAAAAUUCAAAAGCUAUGUGGCCUUAAAGCUUUUUUAGAAUACGAAAUUAACCGUAGGUAUGGACGUAUUAUAGUUAUACACAGAUAUUUACCCGAAAAUCAAAAGAUAAACCUGAACGGUUAAAACGACGAAUAAACCUCU